CCUACGGGAGGCAGCAGUGAGGAAUAUUGGUCAAUGGCCGCGAGCCUGAACCAGCCAAGUAGCGUGAGGGAUGACUGCCCUACGGGUUGUAAACUUCUUUUAUAAAGGAAUAAAGUGAGGCACGUGUGCCUUUUUGUAUGUACUUUAUGAAUAAGGAUCGGCUAACUCCGUGCCAGCAGCCGCGGUAAUACGGAGGAUCCGAGCGUUAUCCGGAUUUAUUGGGUUUAAAGGGAGCGUAGAUGGGUUGUUAAGUCAGUUGUGAAAGUUUGCGGCUCAACCGUAAAAUUGCAAUUGAUACUGGCAGCCUUGAGUACAGUUGAGGUAGGCGGAAUUAGUGGUGUAGCGGUGAAAUGCUUAGAUAUAACGAAGAACUCCGAUUGCGAAGGCAGCUUACCAAACUGCCACUGACAUUGAUGCUCGAAAGUGUGGGUAGCAAACAGGAUUAGAUACCCUGGUAGUC
rnacentral:rRNA from 1 species